rnacentral:rRNA from 1 species
UACAGAGGGUGCGAGCGUUGUCCGGAAUCACUGGGCGUAAAGGGCGCGUAGGUGGCGACCCAAGUCGAUGGUGAAAGCUCGCCGCUCAACGGCGAGUCGGCCACCGAUACUGGGUUGCUGGAGCACUGUAGAGGCUCAUGGAAUUCCGGGUGUAGCGGUGGAAUGCGUGAGAGAGUCCGGAAGAACACCGGUGGCGAAGGCGGUGAGCUGGGCAGUUGCUGACACUGAGGCGCGACAGCGUGGGAGCAAACAGGG